GCUGAACUCACGUCAACUGAAAUCACACAAAGCCAUAGAUGGGCAGACUGGCUAUUGUAUUCCUCCAUAACAUUGAGAGGAGGGUUUACUUUAGGAUUUAAUUUCUCAAUCUAUCUUGAUAUGAUCAGAAAUUGCUUCCAGAAGUUUAUUAACAUCUUGUUUUUAUUAGUUUUGAUGACUGUUUUAUAUCCUUCGGCUUUUUCUACGUUUCUGUAAAUGUUUUAAUAAGAAGCUUGGGAGGAGUAAUUGUGGAAUGUUAGCUUAAGGCCAUCUUUACCUGGAUUUCCAUCACCGAUAGAAGAAACAAUAUGAGCUAAGUCAGAAAUAUUUAAUCACAGAAAUGCCUCUUUGAAGAUGAUGGAAUAUGAAAAGCUAUCAUCACUGUGGUGGAGAAAGACAUCCAUCCUUUUUCCAGUUCAAAAAUGCCAAUGCAGAUCUGAAAAUGAGGUCAUCUUUCCAACCUCUGUGAUGCUGUAUGUAGCACCGCCUCAUAGGAAACUAGCGAAGGCUCAUUCCAACACUACCAUGCCUCUCGGGUCCUCACCUCACCCACCUCCCAGUUCCAAACAACUAACAUCAAGAUGUGGUUCCCAUGUUUUUUUUCUUCAGUAUAGCAACCUCUGAAGACAAACUCUUAUAUGCUACACAUUAAGACAUAAUAAUUUUCAAAUACACCUUGUCUAAAAUACAAUGGUUGAAAAAACAAGGUUAUGUGCAAUAGUUGCUGUGUGUGGUGAGGUCAGAUGUAAAAUGAGAAUAGUUUUUCCUGCAAAUCUCAUGGAAGUCUAUCUGUAGGAAAGCCACCAGAAAGACCACAUGGAUGACAUCAAGAACAGGAAACCUAGUUUCCUAUUAGUAGGUACUAGCUUGCAGAAAACAAAGUAAGUUUGUUAAAUGCACAUUAUUUGUAUUGUCUACUUGUCAUGCUAAUCUUUAGGAAAGGACAGAAUAAACAAACAAACAAAAAAAGCA
rnacentral:lncRNA from 1 species